rnacentral:rRNA from 1 species
CCUACGGGGGGCAGCAGUGGGGAAUAUUGCACAAUGGGCGCAAGCCUGAUGCAGCGACGCCGCGUGAAGGAAGAAGGUUUUCGGAUCGUAAACUUCUAUCAGCAGGGAAGAAGAAAGUGACAGUACCUGACUAAGAAGCCCCGGCUAACUACGUGCCAGCAGCCGCGGUAAUACGUAGGUGGCAAGCGUUGUCCGGAAUUAUUGGGCGUAAAGGAUGCGUAGGCGGCCCUUUAAGUGGGGUGUGAAAUCCCUGGGCUCAACCCAGGAAUUGCACUCCAAACUGGAGGGCUAGAGUGCGGGAGAGGAAAAUGGUAUUCCCAGUGUAGCGGUGAAAUGCGUAGAGAUUGGGAGGAACACCAGUAGCGAAGGCGAUUUUCUGGAACGUAACUGACGCUGAGGCAUGAAAGCGUGGGGAGCAAACAGGAUUAGAUACCCGUGUAGUC